GACGUAGGGCGCGAGCGUUGUCCGGAUUUAUUGGGCGUAAAGAGCUCGUAGGCGGCUUGUUGCGUCAGCUGUGAAAACCCGCAGCUCAACUGUGGGCUUGCAGCUGAUACGGGCAGGCUUGAGUUCGGUAGGGGAGACUGGAAUUCCUGGUGUAGCGGUGAAAUGCGCAGAUAUCAGGAGGAACACCGGUGGCGAAGGCGAGUCCCUGGACAACUCCUGACACUGAGGCACGAAAGCUAGGGGAGCAAACAGG
rnacentral:rRNA from 1 species